UUUAUUUUCAAAUUAAAUUAUACUUAAUUUGACUCUUUCACGAUUCAUGCAUAUAUAGGCCUUAGCCCUUUGUUAAUGGAAUUGUUUUCAACAUUUCAACUCUCAUUAGUAUAGAAGAAAAUUUUCUAGAGAUAAAAGGGAUCGCCAUGGAGAGAAUUGGUACAAAAAAAUUUAUGGCGGUGACAACCAUGGAAAUGGCGUUGAUGAUGCUUGUGAUAAGUGUAACAAAUGCCGGUAACUCUCUCGUUCCCUCCCACCAUCCUCCGUCUGUCCCUAGCUCGCCACUUCCGAUUCGCUUUUUUUCUCUUCCUCUUCCUCCUCUAUCGCGCCGCCUUCUCUCUCUCCAUGCACAUAACGAUGUCAUGGCAGCCAAUUUGGUUGAUGGAAUCUUUAAAAUUCGUAAAACCCCUAAAGUUCUUGAAACUUCUAAUAAUUAUGGAACUGGUACAUCUCUUGAAAUCUCUAAAUUUGAAAAGUUGGUAGCUCAAAUUCCUAUAUUUUCUAAAAUUCGUAUGCCUAAACUUAAUCUUAUGGGGAAAAUGUUUACUGGCAUGAUGAUUUGUGACAUGAUUUGUCCAUCUGAUCACGUAUCCGGAGCUUGUUCUUAUGCAUGUCACCCGAUUUCUACCUUAGAAGGAAAAGCCUUGGCUCCGCAAAAUGAACCAUGAGCACCAAUUCAAUCUGAUGUGGAUUAAUUAAGCAGAAUGCUAUGCACCAGCUACGACUGCUCAAUAAAAAUCAUUGUCAACUUACUAGUAUUUUCUUUACUUAUUGAUGAAAAGUUGUACUUCACAUGUACUAAUUAAGAAUAAUUGUGGCCAACAUUUUUUUUGCAUGUGUCAAUUAUUGUGUCAUGUCAUCCAAAGGGCACAUUCCCUCUUUUGUUGGUUGUAUUUGCACUUAUUUGAUUGUAUUUAGCUUAUUGUUGGGUGGCUCUGUCCUUUUUUAUUAUUUGGUUUGAUGUA